UCCGCCCUCCUCCCUCACUCCUCCCGCGGUAGCGAGCGUCCUCCGCCCGCAGCUCCCGCAGCGCCCGCGGCGGCAGGAGGGGUGAAGGGCCCAGGGAGUCACGUGUGGCGUUCGCCAAACCACUCAGAGCGGCGUAUGAGUGAACCGGCACGGCUGUCCAGACGCGAGGCCUCGGACGCUCUGAGUUUCACUGUUCUCGGCGUCGUUGUGCUUGGGCUCCAGGCGUUUUCGUCUUGGUGACGGAGAGAGCGGAGUUGGAGGCAACAGCCUUCCACUGUGCCUCUUCUUCACCCCGCCCACCCCCCCACCCCCUCACCCCCUCACCCCCUCACCCCCUCACCCCCCCACCCCCUCACCCCCCCACCCCCUCCCCCCCCCACCCCCUCACCCCCCAGCUUUUUGGUAAAUCUCUUGCCACCAAACUCCCCUCUGUUUCCUCUGCUUCCUCCAGCUAGAGGCAGAGUAAUCUCUGAAUUGAAGCGUUCGUUGGCUGUAGCCUGUUCCGUGCGAGUAGUGUAAACGCAACGCCACUGCCUUUGGCCUCUCCCUCCUGGCUGUGCCCACAGCUUCUGCCGCUGGAUAGGUGAUUUUUAAAAAAUCACAGCUAAUCAUUGUUGGCUUUUGUGACGGGUGUGACUCACUAUAGCACAUUGUUUACACCUACCCGCCUCCCACUAGCCUCUCUGUGUGAAUUUUUAAAUGCAAGUGAGUUGAAGAUAGGCCGGUGCCUACAGAACCACUAAGUUAACUGAUUGCCACCUGUAAUAAUCAUAACCCAAAAGGAAAACCUAGCAGUAGAAAAUCGCUGUGUACCAUGCCCAACUUGCACAAGUUUGUCUCAUUUGACAACCUGAACCCUUUGAAAUUUGUCUGGAAUUUCCUAAGAAAGUUGAGAAGUUGUGACAUUAAUGGUGCUUGUGUGUACUGCCUUUCACCAUGUCAAGAAUUGUUUGAAAUGAAUACUGGAACCCUGGAAAGUCAAACACAAAUAAAAACCCUAUGAAGCUUGCCUACACAUGUCUGCUCCUUUGUAAAUUUAGAAGGAGACUUCAAUAUAGCAAAUAGGCAGAGUGUUAGCAUUUUCUGAAAAUGUUUGCUCAAAAAGAAUCUUAGUAUGAAAAUACAUCUAUUGAGUGAGAAUAGGGGAAAACCACUAGAGAAGUAGAGAAAUCAACUUUAUAAGCAUGUAUCUAUUACCUAAUCAUUGUGAUGUUAAAAUUUGUUUUUCCCAGGAAUGAAAAUGAAAAUAUUGAAAAAGAAAGCUAGGCUUGAGUGUAAAUAGCAUAUUGUACCUCGGACACCUCAAUAGAGUAGUGUGUAGACUCAGUAUGCUUUCAGUCCAGAGAUCAUCAAGUGGAAAGAUGUUUUUCUUUAGUAAUUACUUAUAUAAGGAAAAUUAAAUAGCAUAUUCUCUUAAAGAAAAAGCAGGAAUAUUACUCAU
rnacentral:lncRNA from 1 species